UAGAUAGCUAGCUAGCUAGACCCACCAACACUCCCACCACCACCACCAUCCCUUUUUCCCCUUUAAUUUCCCAGUAGCUAGCUUACUUCUCCUUCAAAACUUCAACUGCCCUCACAUAAAGCUAGCUACUGCCUUUAGCUUCUUCUGCUAUCUUGCUAGAUCCUCACUUCCAGUUCUCUCUUUCAAUUUCUCCUGUUUCUGGGUUCUGGGUUUGAAUGUCAUUGAGGUUUCCUCAAGUGGGUACAUUUCUG
rnacentral:lncRNA from 1 species